GUGUCCUGAAUGUCGCCGCGAUGCCCGCUAAAUUUGCGAAAAGGUUGAUGCUCAUACGCUCACUUUAGGGGCAGUGCGCUUUGGUUAAGUGGGCCAACAAAUCUAAACCCUUCAACCACUCUCUCAAUCUCUGUAGAGUGAAAUAAAUAAAUAAAUAACGAAUUUGUAAUUCACUCACAAUAAGAGAGCUCCUACGAUAGUUUUAAAUCUACUAAUCUCACGAUUAACUUUUUGUAGAGAAAAGAGGGGGGAAAAACAAAUUAUGAGGACGAGUUCUGGUUUCUGAGUCGAACCGCCACCAAAUACUUAUUUUGUCAACUCCAUUAAAGAUGUCCACUAAAAUUAAGGGCCAUGAUAAAUGAGUAACCGAAUUUCACCUUGACCACGAGUUUUUCUUCCAUUUUUCUCAUAUUUUAGACAUUUCUUUGCACUUUAGUGAUUGGUAUUGAGUAUUGAAUGUAGUGACGUUUUUGGUAUUUUCUACUUGCCUUCUUUUGAGAAAUACAAACCAUCGUGUGUAACGAUACUCUCCCAUCUACAUAAGCAUCCCUAGAAUCUUCUUUGAGUUUUAUUCGGGUGUCUUCUCUUGUAGCGUCUGGAAGAGAAAACAGAAAUGAAGCACUGGGGUCUGGUUUUCUUUGUGGUUCUUCUUGUUCAAAAACAGGGGAUUUUUCUCCCAGUUGAAGCAGAUGAUGGGUUUAUAAGUACCAAAGGAGUGCAAUUUAUGUUGAAUGGGAGUCCAUUUUAUGCAAAUGGAUUCAAUGCUUACUGGCUCAUGUAUUUUGCAACUGACCCUUCUAUGAGAAACAAAGUCUCAUCUGUUUUUCAAGAAGCUAGAGACCAUGGUCUUACACUAGCAAGAACUUGGGCUUUCAACGAUGCGCAAGAUAGAGCUUUGCAGUACUCUCCUGGCUCCUACAAUGAACAGACCUUCCAGGGAUUGGAUUUUGUAAUAUCUGAAGCUAAGAAAUAUGGGAUUAAGCUAGUGUUGAGUUUGGUGAACAAUUAUGAGAGCUUUGGAGGGAAAAAGCAGUACGUGAACUGGGCAAGGAGUGAGGGGCAGUCUAUAUCAUCUGAUGAUGAUUUCUUUGCAAACUCUGUAGUCAAAGGCUACUACAAAAAUCAUAUCAAGACUGUUCUUACAAGGCGUAAUACAAUCACUGGAGUUGCUUACAAAGAUGAACCAACUAUAAUGGCUUGGGAACUUAUGAAUGAACCCAGAUGCACCUCAGAUCCAUCAGGAGGAACCAUUCAGGCUUGGAUUACAGAGAUGGCUUCUUACUUGAAAUCCAUAGAUGGCAACCACUUAUUAGAAGCAGGCUUGGAAGGGUUUUAUGGGCAAUCAUCAUCUCAAAAACAGCAAUACAAUCCAAAUUUUCAAAUAGGGACAGAUUUCAUUGCAAACAAUCAGAUUCCAGGCAUUGAUUUUGCAACAGUUCACUCUUAUCCUGACCAAUGGCUGCCUAGUUCAGAUAGUGAAAGCCAGGAGUCUUUUUUGAACAAUUGGCUGAACAAUCACAUCCAGGAUUCACAGAACAUACUUCGAAAGCCAGUUCUCUUUGCUGAGUUUGGAAAAUCAUCUAAAACCUCCCCUUAUGAACAAAGAGACCAGCUGUUCAAUACAAUCUACUCAGCAAUAUAUUCGUCGGCUAGGGGCGGAGGUGCAGCUGCAGGUGGCAUGUUCUGGCAACUUUUCAUUGAGGGAAUGGACUCAUUCCGAGAUGGUUACGAGGUAGUCUUCAGUGAGAAUCCGUCAACAGCUGGUAUCAUAAUUGAUCAGUCUCAAAAACUUAACAAGAUUCGAAAGAUGUAUGCGAGACUUAGAAACAUUGAGAAGUGGAAUGAAGCACGGGGAAAUUAGAAGCUCUCAGUAGUGGACUGGGAACAAUAGCAGUAGCAUAAACAUACUAGACCUUUGAACAUUUAUAUAUAUAUAAUACUACAUAGAAUGCUGUAUCAAUUAUCAUGAAGUUUCAAGAAUGUAUUGUCCCUGGCAACAUAUACUGCUCGUCCAGAAGAUUUUCUCUGUUCUUUUUCUCCUUUCUGUUAAUUCCAAGCAGUAAGAAUGUAAGAUGAUAUUCAAUUGUCUGCUACAUAUCUACAAACCAAGCCUUCGCAACAAUGGUCACAUGAGAGCAAAUAUUAUUUGUAUUCAAACAUCAUAGGCAGCAUCCACAUAAUGAAAGCUUAGAGCUCUCAUUAUUCUAUAGAGUUAGUUACACUACUACUUUAAUAGGAUGUUCUUUGAGGAGCAUUAAUUUACAUGUAUCAUCACUACUAGUUACUGCUCAGUGCCACUGAGUUAAAAGAUCUUAGACCAACUGCUUCCUCAGCUCCAUUACUAGCAUAAUCCAAACAGGGAGUCCUUGGGAAUUCAAUGGCUAGAUAAUGGUUCCAUCUUUAAUUGUUGCAUUCUUCAGUAUGACUGUGAUCCCUGAUCUAAUGUAAAAUCCUUCUUCUGGUUUAUCUGCUUCUUGAACAUCAUCAGCAUUUGUGAUGACCACAUCUCUUCCUAUCUUGGCAUUCUUGUCAAUAAUGCAGUUCCUGAUUUUAGUAUUCUGUCCAACCCCAAUUGGAACCUUCCCUUCUGCAAGGAGAGAUGCAAUUUCAGAUUCAGUUUGGUAGUAGUCUGCACCCAUCAUCAAAGUAUCUGAAAGGUCAACACCACUCUCCAGUCUUGAACGCACACCAACUAUGGAGUGCUGUAUGCUACAUUCUCGCAAGAAGCAGCCAUGUGAAAUUAUGGCAUCCACAAUCCUGCAUUGAUCCACUUUUGUUGGUGGCAAGAAUCUAGGAGACGUGAAGAAAGGUGUCUUUGGAUCAUAAAAUUCAAACUUUGGUGGCUGUUCUGUGAGGGCCAAAUUAGCAUCAAAAAAUGACUUUAUGGUCCCAAUGUCUUCCCAAUAGUCAUUGAAUAAAUAGGCUUGGACAUUGUGGUCCUUCACAGCAGAUGGAAUAAUUUCAGAACCAAAGUCAUUGCAAGAAGGAUAACUCCAUCUAAGAAGCUUCAGUAGGACCUCAGUUCUAAACACAUAAACACCCAUUGAUGCAAUGUAAGGAAACCGUGAAGCAUCUUGCUUAGAUAACCCCAGAACAGCAGUAUCAACUUGCAUUGCUUUCAGGUCAGCUCCCUUAGGUUUCUCAGCAAAUUGGAUAAUGCGUCCUGUGUCGUCAAUCUUCAUCAAUCCAUAAUCUGAUGCACGGCUGUCAUUCAUAGGUACACAUGAAACAGUAAUAUCUGCAUUUGUGUCAAUAUGCUUCUGCACAAACUCCAUAUAGUCUGUCCGAUAAAGAUGAUCACCAGACAAAAUCAAUACAUGCUCCACGUUCUUGUUCUUUGCAUCCUCAAACACCCAAAUGAAUUGCCGCACCGCAUCGGCAGUUCCUUGGAACCACUUUUUUCCUGCCUCUCCUGGCGUUUGAGUUGCAGCCAGAACCUCCACAAACCCAUCUCCAAAAUUAACACCAUUUCCAAAGUUAUAGGUGCGAGCAAGGUGACGGUUGAGGGAGAAGGAAUUGAACUGUGUUAAAAUAAAAAUCUUCUGAAUACCACUAUUAAUGCAGUUACUCAUUGGAAUAUCAAUCAGCCUGUAACACCCUCCAAGUGGAACCGCAGGCUUGGCUCUUUGGCUAGUAAGUGGAAAGAGCCGUGUCCCAGCACCUCCACCUAAUAUGAUCGCAGCUACGUUUUUGGGAUCUGCCAUCGGUGUCUCAAAAGCCGUCGCAUCAAAUGUCACAGUUUCUUUGUUAACAUCAGAUGUAAGAACAGAGUAGGUGACUCGAGGCUUGACCUUUUUGAUACCUUUAUUGUUUUUGGUUCUGAAAUUCUUCCAUAAGUAAGCAUUAAAAUUCCUGCCUUUUAGGCUCUCCCUGAUACUCUCCCCCAAAAAAAGAGUACUCCUAUUAAAGAGACUUCUGUUAACACUAACGGCAUUGGAAGAAGCCUUCAGAGCAGCACAGCAAGAAUCCAUGGCUGAAGCAACCAAUAAAUUAGAAGUCCAGAUGAUGCUUCAGAGGGAAUAUUCGACAAAGAGUAUCCUAGGAUGUGAGAUGCAGGGUGUUUGGAAUCCUUAACAAAGAUUUAUGGCAUUGUGAAAAGGCAAAACUACUUUCCCAGAGGCAGAGAGGUAGCCAAAAAAGAAGAACCAAAGGUACCUAGAUGUCAAAACGAACAAGAUUCAAGACUUCGUACCAGUCCCAAUAUGCAAGGAAGAAGGAAACAAAAUGGGAAGUGAAGAAAACCGAAGGGUGGCGAGGUAAGAAAGGGAGGAGCAAACAGGGGAGAGAUUUGAAUACAGGAAAUGUAUGAGUAGCUUAAAAUGGGAUUGCGAAGAAAUGGGAGGAGAAAACACGAGAAGCUAAUCUUGGAAUAGAAAAUUGCUUGUGAUUUUGGAGUCAGAGAUCUGUAUGCCACUUCUAACUCCACAGUAUGCGGCUGCCACAGACUUCGCACGGCAUU
rnacentral:misc_RNA from 1 species